UGGGGCACAGGUAUUUGAGGCUUCCGCCCCUGUAGACAAUUCUGGUGUUUCUAUUCUUUUCUUGUACAGUUGGUGUAAAAAGGGCUAGAAAAGUAUAACACCAUGCAUAUUCAUUGAAAAAUAAAAAUAGACUUCUUAGAUAUGUUCUCCUUUUGUCUGGGUCUGACUGCACACUGCUGUCAGACUCUUUCUCUUCACAGCUCAUCAUAUAGUGAAGAAGGAGCUGGCCUCUCCAUCAGAGUAGGUCUGGACUCCCAUGCUGGACAGGCCAGGUCCAACAGCAGAUGGCACUAUUCCAGUGACCCAUAUCACUGGCUUACUUCUUAAUGUGAUCUUUCAAUGGGGUUCUGCACUUCAGAGAAUGUGAGCUGGCCCGAAGAUUUCUCGCCCCUAAAUCCUCAGGGGCUCCAGAGGCCAUUCAACAUGAGAAGUUGAAUAGGCCUUUGACCUAAAACUCUUGCCCGUCUUUAACAGCAGCUUCAGUGUUUCUCGGUUAUUUCAUCGGCAACAACUCCCUCUUCUUAACGAAGGCAUGAAUGAAGUCCAGUUGAUCCUCCUUUCUCUCUCUCCUCCCAUUUGUGGGGCCUGUCUCUUCCAUCACGCAGGAAGGUCUCAUUGCACCUGGAGCUCACUGACUGCUGGACUACCUAUCCUCCUGUCUCCACUCUCUUAGCAAUGAGAUGGUCUCUGUUGGAACUGCCUGCUGCUGUGUGAAAGGUAGCACCACACAGGAAAACCCGAAACAAACG